rnacentral:sRNA from 1 species
AAUUCUUCCUAUUCGGGAAGGAUGAGAAGCUUCGACCAAGGUUCGAUUCGAGCGUUAGCGAGAAAGCGUUGCCGCAGGCAACGACCCGAAGGGCGAAGCGCGCAGCGCUUAGUAAUCCUUCCCCCACCACCA